rnacentral:rRNA from 1 species
AGAAACCAACAGGGAUUGCCCUAGUAACGGCGAGUGAAGCGGCAACAGCUCAAAUUUGAAAUCUGGCGCAAGCCCGAGUUGUAAUUUGUAGAGGAUGCUUCUGGGUAGCGGCCGGUCUAAGUUCCUUGGAACAGGACGUCAUAGAGGGUGAGAAUCCCGUAUGUGACUGGCUUGCACCCUCCACGUAGCUCCUUCGACGAGUCGAGUUGUUUGGGAAUGCAGCUCUAAAUGGGAGGUAAAUUUCUUCUAAAGCUAAAUACCGGCCAGAGACCGAUAGCGCACAAGUAGAGUGAUCGAAAGAUGAAAAGCACUUUGGAAAGAGAGUUAAAAAGCACGUGAAAUUGUUGAAAGGGAAGCGCCCGCAACCAGACUUUGCGGCGGUGUUCGGCUGGUCUUCUGACCGGUUUACUCGCCGCCGUGAGGCCAUCAUCGUCUGGGACCGCUGGAUAAGACCUGAGGAAUGUAGCUCCCUUCGGGGUGUGUUAUAGCCUUUGGUGAUGCAGCGCGUCUCGGGCGAGGUCCGCGCUUCGGCAAGGAUGAUGGCGUAAUGGUUGUCGGCGGCCCGUCUUGAAACACGGACCAAGGAGUCUAACAUCUAUGCGAGUGUUCGGGUGUUAAACCCCUACGCGUAAUGAAAGUGAACGGAGGUGGGAACUUUUUGUGCACCAUCGACCGAUCCUGAUGUCCUCGGAUGGAUUUGAGUAAGAGCAUAGCUGUUGGGACCCGAAAGAUGGUGAACUAUGCCUGAAUAGGGUGAAGCCAGAGGAAACUCUGGUGGAGGCUCGCAGCGGUUCUGACGUGCAAAUCGAUCGUCAAAUUUGGGUAUAGGGGCGAAAGACUAAUCGAACCAUCUAGUAGCUGGUUCCUGCCG